rnacentral:rRNA from 1 species
UACGUAGGGGGCAAGCGUUGUCCGGAUUUAUUGGGCGUAAAGAGCGUGUAGGCGGCCAGGUAGGUCUGCUGUGAAAACUCGAGGCUCAACCUCGAGACGUCGGCGGAAACCAUCUGGCUAGAGUCCGGAAGAGGAGAGUGGAAUUCCUGGUGUAGCGGUGAAAUGCGCAGAUAUCUGGAGGAACACCGGUGGCGAAGGCGGCGUUCUGGACUGCAACUGACACUGAUGGACGAAAGCCAGGGGAGCAAACGGG